AUUUGGAUGCCCACUGCCUGAGUCAAAUUUUCAGGUUUAAACAUACCUGAAAUGAUGCUGCUUAGUAGACUGCAGUGUCGGAUAAGCGUGCAUCUGCUCUCAAGUUGAAAAUACACAGAUGGAGAAUCUUCUCCCACUUCCCCUACGGGAAAGGACAAUGUAGUCUCUGCACAUGAACCCACUGCUCCUUCUUGGACCCUGGGGUACAUUCCAAAGGGGUGUUGACAUCUCACCGCAGAGACUUGGAGUGUAAGAAGAGCAAAUUGCUCACAGGCCUCUAUGCCAGCAGAGCUCUCUGGAAGCCACUGGAUCUUGUCUGGAAUCCCUUCUAAUUAGGUACAAUAAAACGGAUCGCAUACAUGUUCAUAGCAGCAUUAUUCCCAAUAGCCAAAAGGUGGAAGCAACCCAAAUGGUGAAUGGAUAAACACAUUCAUGUUAUGGCCCAUGAUGGAAUAUCACUCAGUUGUAAAAAGGAAUGAUGUCCUGAUUAAUGCUGCCACAUGGAAUAACCUUGAAAACAUGCUAGGAGGUGAAACAAGCCAGACACAAAAGCCACAUUUUGUAGGAUUCAAUUUCAUUAUUGGUUGAUUUGAGAAUCAAUGUUUUUAUGUAUUCUCGCAUUGCCCAAUUCCAAAAAGGGUUUGGAGCAGCUUACAAACAUGCCCACGCAAAGGGAGCCACAAAAUAAUGGCAAACUGACAAUGGAACGGAGGGUGAAGGAAGAAAUGGUGAAUAUUAGACUUGUGGUGCACAACCCAACAACGUGCAACGUUCACUUAUCAACCAGGCAGGUUUACUUAGGACAGAAGAAAAACCUGAUGUGGCUACACCAUUCUGUCUGAUUCCAUUUACAUGGAAUGCCAGAAUAGGCAAAUUCAUAGAGGGAGAAAGUAAAUUCGUGGUUCCAGCGGCUGAGAGAAGGGGUUCAUGAGGAGUUACUACUUAAUGGGAACAGGAUAUCCUUUUGGGGUGUGAUGAAGAUUCUCUGAAAUUAGAAGAUGGUGAUGGUUGCACAACCUUGUGAAUAUGCUUAAACCAUUGAAUUGUACAUUUUAAAUGGGUGAAUUUAAGGUUAUGUGAAUUGUAUCUCUAUAAAAAUAUUGGGUUACAUUAUAAAAUUGGAAAAAAAAAGAAAGAUCGAUGACCUCUUUACUUCUAUGUUUUCCCUUAGAAAUGGAAACCAGAUAUAUGUUUCAAUAUUGAUUUGGUGAUGCUUGGUUUCUUUAAAGGAGAAAAAAUUUCUGUGGAUAAGUGAUAAGGUGGCUUGAGAGGCUGUCCACGGACCCAGCAGUAUGGGGGGAGGAAUCCCCCUGUGGAGACAGCACAGGUGAUUGUCCAGGCCUGAGAAAGGCAAGGCUCUUGUAGAGCUCGCAAAGCUCAGUGUAAGAAAAUAAAUGGGAGCAGGCACACAUUACCCUUGGAGCCAGACAACCUGGGUUCACAUCCUGGCCACGCCACUAAGAGCUGUGUGACCUUAAGCAGAUUGCCUAAACUCUCUGUGCUUAAAUGACCUCAUCGACAAGAUGAGGAAACUAAUAGUACCUACCUUGAUGCAUGCUUUUGGGGGAUUCAAUGAUGAAUUGUCAUCUGUAAAGAGACCCAGAGUUCUGUAAACUGCUAUGUGUAUUUUUAUCAAAGAAAAUAAUCUAGUAA
rnacentral:lncRNA from 10 species